GAUAGAUCCUAGAGAAUGUGUCGCGUAACCGAUCGACCGGACAUCGCGUUAUGUAGCGCCGCGGGCUAAUCGGCCGCGGAAACUCAAUGACUUUGGUUCGCGCGAUGUAAACGAUCGAGGUAAAGGAAUUCAAGGAAAAAGAUGUUACUUUGCGCCAUCAUUUGCGUUUCUCUACGCACAACAUGCCGAAAAUAAUCCUGGAAGAUCAUACGUAACGGAAAAUAUCAUGGUCGACGUUCUAUUUGCGGACAGUAUCACCGCAGCGGGUGGAAAUACCGAAAAUUCAUUCAAGAAACCAUUCCAACCGGUUACACUGAACGCAGAUAUUUCGCGUAAUUAUCGUUCGACCUUUGCAAACGGCGAAUAGUUGGCUGAAAAUAGUAAAACGUGGGUGUCGAUUGCAUUUUAACGAAGCGUAAUCGCGGAAUUCGCAAUAAACAGCCGGCAAAGGUGUUCAGGCGCGCGGAACUUAUCAUCGCAUAACAAUCGACUUACUGGUGCAUAGCAUGCGUGGGUCACCCGAUUCCAAUCUAAGAUUUGGCGUACAGCCGAAACUUCUCAAAGGUUAACGAUCUUCUGCUCGCAUCGAGCAAGAAAUCGAUCGAUAGCUCGCUCCUUCGCAACUUUAACUCUGCGCCUCUCCUAUCUUUGGAACUUCCAAUAUUCGUACAGUUUCCGCUUGGUAAAACAAUUCAUCGUUAUCGCCGGAACGCGUUACAAAUUGUUUUUAAAACGAUUUUUCUUCUUUCGUCCUAUCGAAAGAUUAACACGCUGUCACUUUACGGACCCUACUCGCACGAACGCUACGAUCAGAUCUUGGAGCAAUGUGCGACAGACAACAGAGAACAGCAUACUUUACACAAUUGCAGAUCGUAUCCAGCGAAGACGAAGCCUGUGGAUCAAAGCUAAUUCUAACGACGCGACAAAAUCAUGGAAAAAUUUCGGCAAUUUGAACAAAGAAGUCGUUUCGUUCAAGAUGUUCGUAAGUAGAUAAAGUCAAACGGAAAUCGUGAAACAAGCGUAAGAACAGCGAGUUUUCGCAAAGCAUCAAGCAACGUGACCCAUUUGAAAGCGAAAGAAAAAAUGCCUAUCACCGUACCCCGGAAUGUUUCGUGCGCAGUUCGAAAGCCGUCCAAGUGGCCGAGAUUUUAUGAGAAAUUAUACAGUCAACUAGCCGACAGCUUAGUUUCCCAAAUAUGUUACUGUCUAUAUAUUUAAUCAUUGUAUGAAAGAUACAUGUAUGAAAAUAUUAAACGAUAUAAAUAU